rnacentral:rRNA from 1 species
AUGCAGUUCCUCAGAGCUAGACGCCACACAUGUAAUGUGUCGCGCCUAUCCCGUAGGCGCUGCACUGUGACUUACAUGCAGCCGCCGCACGCUAGCCCUCCCGCACCCAUCCCAUUCUUCCAGCGGUUACAGAUGCAUCGCGGCGGCAGCUGGCUCCUCUCCACUUCUCAAUCCCCUCUUCAAAAAUAUUUAGAUAUGAUGAUUUGGUCCAUGGAAUUCUUCACCAUUCCAUCCUACAAGAUGAUUUGGCUUCUCGAUGAUCACUAUGACACUCGACACUGGGCCUACUUGAUGUCGGUGGAUAAGCGGGAGCUUCAACCUCUAAAGAUUCAGUCUCACGGGGUCAUACUUGGGGGGGGGGGGAUGCGCUAUGAUCAGCGGUACACACCGUACAUAAGGGAGACACGACUUCUCCCUUUCAUUCAGUUGGUCAGUCGGUCGACGUCGAACCUCAAUGUUGCAACAAUUACCGCGCUUGUUUAUCAUUGGAGGCCGAAGACACGGAGUUUCCAUCUUCAGACCGGGGAGAUGACCGUUACGCUACAAGAUAUUGCUAUGAUCGCCGGUCUUCCUAUUGAGGGGAAUCCUCUUUGUAUGGUUCCUCCAGAGCCUCCGGUACCAGAAGGAUACAAGAAGAAGUUUUGCCAUGAGGAUGCUACUGAUGAUGAGGUUAAGAUAUAUGCUCGUGUCUACAUGUGGUACGUUAUAUCCAGGACUAUGUUUGCUGAUGGCAAGAAUGCCCCAUGGAUGUGGCUGAAGGCGUUGACGGUGGAAUGGGAGUCGUAUGGAGAAGGGGAUAUAUUUGGUAAACCUCUAGAAUUCGUGUUGAAUCCGAUGUGCCUUCGGGAUAGGGAUCUAUGGCAUAUGCAGUGCCCACUCAUAUGCAACUGGGCGGUUGAGCUUCACAUGCCAUAUCGGGUGUUUUGCCAGUUUGGUUUGUUCCAGCCACACCCGCCGAAGUGGGAGGAUACGGACAAGUUGCUACACGGGUAA